GAUGAACGCUGGCGGCGUGCUUAACACAUGCAAGUCGAACGGGAAUUACUUUAUUGAAACUUCGGUCGAUUUAAUUUAAUUCUAGUGGCGGACGGGUGAGUAACGCGUGGGUAACCUGCCUUAUACAGGGGGAUAACAGUCAGAAAUGGCUGCUAAUACCGCAUAAGCGCACAGAGCUGCAUGGCUCGGUUUGAACAACUCCGGUGGUAUAAGAUGGACCCGCGUUGGAUUAGCUUGUUGGUGGGGUAACGGCCCACCAAGGCGACGAUCCAUAGCCGGCCAGAGAGGGUGAGCGGACACAUUGGGACUGAGACACGGCCCAGACUCCUACGGGAGGCAGCAGUGGGGAAUAUUGCACAAUGGGGGGAGCCCUGAUGCAGCGACGCCGGGUGAAGGAAGAAGUAUCGCGGUAUGUAAACUUCUAUCAGCAGGGAAGAUAGUGACGGUACCUGACUAAGAAGCCCCGGCUAACUACGUG
rnacentral:rRNA from 1 species